AACGAACGCUGGCGGCAUGCCUAACACAUGCAAGUCGAACGAGACCUUCGGGUCUAGUGGCGCACGGGUGCGUAACGCGUGGGAAUCUGCCCUUGGGUUCGGAAUAACAGUGAGAAAUUACUGCUAAUACCGGAUGAUGUCUUCGGACCAAAGAUUUAUCGCCCAGGGAUGAGCCCGCGUAGGAUUAGCUAGUUGGUGGGGUAAUGGCCUACCAAGGCGACGAUCCUUAGCUGGUCUGAGAGGAUGAUCAGCCGCACUGGGACUGAGACACGGCCCAGACUCCUACGGGAGGCAGCAGUGGGGAAUAUUGGACAAUGGGCGCAAGCCUGAUCCAGCAAUGCCGCGUGAGUGAUGAAGGCCUUAGGGUUGUAAAGCUCUUUUACCCGGGAUGAUAAUGACAGUACCGGGAGAAUAAGCUCCGGCUAACUCCGUG
rnacentral:rRNA from 1 species